ensembl:lncRNA
UGGGGGAGUAAGUCUGGUGGAGUAAAGCUGGGGGGUGAGUCUGGUGGAGUAAAGCUUGGGGAGUGAGUCUGGUGGAGUAAAGCUGGGGGAGUGAGUCUGGUGGAGUAAAGCUGGGGGGGAGUGAGUCUGGUGGAAUAAAGCUGGUGGAGUAAGUCUGGUGGAGUAAAGCUGGGGGAUGGAGUCCGGUGGAGUAAAGCUGGGGGAGUGAGUCUGGUGGAGUAAAGCUGGGGGAGUAAGUCUGGUGCGGUAAAGCUGGGGGGUGAGUCUGGUGGAGUAAAGCUGGGGGAGUAAGUGUGGUGGAGUAAAGCUGGGGGAGUAAGUGUGGUGGAGUAAAGCUGGGGGAGUAAGUGUGGUGGAGUAAAGCUGGGGGAGUAAGUGUGGUGGAGUAAAGCUGGGGGAGUGAUCUGGUGGAGUAAAGCUGGGGGAGUGAGUCUGGUGGAGUAAAGCUGGGGGAGUGAGUCUGGUGCAGUAAAGCUGGGGGAGUGAGUCUGGUGCAGUAAAGCUGGGGGAGUGAGUC